rnacentral:rRNA from 1 species
GAUGAACGCUAGCGGCAGGCCUAAUACAUGCAAGCCGAACGGCAAGUUGAGUAGCAAUACUUGACCUAGAGUGGCGUAAGGGUGCGUAACACGUAUGCAAUCUACCCGCAACAGGAGGAUAGCUCUCCGAAAGGGGAAUUAAGCCUCCAUGGGAUCAUGGGGUGGCAUCACUCCAUGAUUAAACUACCAGGGGUUGUGGAUGAGCAUGCGCAUGAUUAGUUAGUUGGCGGGGUAAC